GAAGAUCAAGAGAAGUAGGAGGUGGGAGGGAGACAAGAGAGAGUAACGGCCUCUCAAGUGCUGGGGUUACAAGUGUUGGCCCACCAUUCCUGGCAGGAGCAGACUGGACCGGAGGAGUCAGAAAUGGAAGAACACCAUCCUUGAUGGCUGAGCCAUUUCUACAGCCUUCAGUAUUUAUUCUGAAAGUGUCUACUGGAACCCAGCGAUCAGUACCACCGUUGCCUGUGGUUGGGAAGGUGGGGCAGGAGGAACACCUGCAUGGAGGAGGUGCAUCUUCUGCAUGCUGAGUCUGUGGAGCCUUCCACCAGUGAGAAAGAAGGCAGUACCGGAGGGCCUGGACUUCAAAGGAAAGAUCUGGACGGACGUAAAAUUUUGGGAGUUGUCAUUCCACCAACAGUAAAUGAACUUGUGGCAUGAAUGAAUUUGUCUAGGGGAAAAUGACUGAGAAGAAAAACUCAGAAGAAAAAGUCAGGAUCUGAGAAGCUCCAGUAUUUAAUAACUGUGCACACAAAAAUUUAGCUUAGUAGGCCUGUUUGUUCAAACUGUACACAUUCUAAUGAAAAGCUCGUCUUUAGGCUUCCUAGGAAAUAAUUCGGAGUCCUUGAAUACUCUAAUACUCUAAAAUGAGUUUCUUCUGCUUUCGAAGUGGCCAUGGUGUACUCUGACUUCUGGGAGGGUAGAGUCUGAGUAGCUGAGAGGUCACAAGGGCACUGCAUGCCUAUGAGACUGACUGCCAAUAAAAAUUCUGACAGCAUGGCUUCGGUGGGCUUCCUGGUUGUCGGCACAAUAUACAUGUUGUCACACAUCAUUG